GAUAAAUAUAAAAAUGUUAUCGAUCUGUGGAGUUUAAUACACUUGUUUUGUACUUUACAGUAUAUAUAGUAAUUAUUGCACGUUGUAAUUUCGAUAUUUUUUAAACAAAAUAAAUUCAUUCAUACAGCGUGUAUAAGGCAAUUUAAAUAAACGAAGUUUAUUGGUAUAAUUAAUCUCCAGGGCUUUGGUCGUAAGGCAGCACUUUUCUAGCCUGCGAACGGGCUCUCAAGCUGAAUUGAGAGCCUGCAUCGAUGACUAAUGAAUUUGAAUAUCUGCCCCGUAACGUUCGUUUUUCCAAAUAUGGAAUGUAUAUCCUUAUAUGGUGUUGUUUACAACUUUCGUGCAAACUAAAUUUAGACCGUGCAAACUAAAUUUAGACCGUACAGUUUAUACUGUUUUUCGAAAUAUAAGAUAUUGAAGCAAAAGUUCAAAUGUUUUAAAUACUGUUUUCUCAAAACAGAACAGUUCGUGCUUUGAGAUAAGAUGGUCAAGACCAAUUUGAUCAGUUAAUGUGUUUUUUAUGCAUAGUGCUUCAGCAGUUGACAUAUAUAGAGCUCAGCGGAAACAUAUAAAUUAUAGCAUCUGACCAAUGAGAAUUUCGCGUCACGAUUUGAGACGCAGAUAUUCAAAUUCAUUGGUCAUCGAUGCAGGCUCGCAAUUCAGCUUGAGAGCCUGUUCGCAGGCUAGCACUUCCCUUGCGAUAGUAACUUCUAGUUUAAAUAAUAAUUAGCUACCUUUUUAAAGUGACGUCAUAUAUAUUUAUACAGCAAUAGAAGCAAAACUUACUGAACUUCAGACAUCAUUUUCUCUUUGGCAUACCAUCUAAAAUCUCUUCGUUUUAGGAUUAAUUUACAGAUAAAGCACUAAACAUACUUUUUAAGUCUGUUUGCCACUUUGCCACUUGAGAAACGUUCAAAAAUCUAAAAAAUUUAAUAUUGUCAAGUGGAAAAGUAUAUUCAUGAGUUUUGAGCGGCGAGCGCGUGUUACGU